ACAUAUAUAUGAUAUAUGAGAUAUAUGAUGAUAUAUGAUGAUGAGCUCUUUUAUGUUUGAGGAAAGGAACAGAGCAAACCUUGCACAGCAUGUGUGAUCUCCUCUCCCAGAUCACCUGAGGCCUCUAACUGCCAAAGCUGAACCUGUAGGUGAAUGUGGAUACUCACUUCUUAAACAUGAAACAAGUGAGCCUACUUGAAGAGGAGGAGACAGUUCUGAAGCCUGACAAGGUGACACACACAGAGGAACACAUCAGACGGAGGAAAGGCUUUACAGAAAUCCCACGUUGUGCAAGUAUGAAGCCAUGUGACGUGUGCUCUGCGGUUGAAGAUGGUUGGAAAGCCCUACUUCACACAGUCCAACGAAUCAUGCAGCUCUGGGGGAAAGGACAUAGCUACUUGUAGUUUGAAUGAAAACUGCCCCCAUAGACCGACAUACUGGAAUACUUGGCCCCCCAUCUGUGGCACUGUUGGUGAAAGCGAUGGAGCCUUUAAGACGCCCGGCUGGAAGAAAUUUGUUUGGGGUAGGGGCAGACUUUGAGGAUGUGUAGCCUGCUUCCCUUCACGCGCUCUCAGCUUCCUGUGUGUGCAUGAAAAUGUAACUUCUGCUUCCGCUGCCCCGCCACACCUUCCAGAGCCCAUAUUCGUAUACUUGAGCACUGCAGCACCCGACCAAGACCACUGCAUGGAGGCUGCAGUUCUGGGCCACAUCCUCUGGGCCACAAAGGCUUCUGGAGGAGGGGUUCCCAUGUGUGAUGGCAAACAACUCUCACCAUGGCAUUUGGCCAUUUUCAAUCAUUUCCCCAGAGACUGAGCUCAUGCGGUCAUCAUUCACCAUCUACAUAGAUGUUCGAAUAAAAAGCCAGGGCUGAGAAUACUUGGCCUGUGUCAACUGAAUCCCCAUGCAUGGAAACUCGAGAGUAUCCAGGAUAUCAAUCUAUAAAGCCCCUGUAUUCUCCAAAGGGAUGUAGCUUGACCAUAAAAUGGAUGUAACACACAGUGAA